UUCAUUAUCUGUUUAGAUUGUAUUGUUAUAGUAAAAAAAUUUAAAAUAUUUAUGUUUUAAACCACUUUAGCGUCGCCAUGGCAUAUCAGCGAAAAUGUGUGCAAAAAUUUUUAUAGCCCACAAAAAUAUGGAAAUAUAGUUGGUAAAAUGCCCUCGAUACAGCAAGCCAACGCAAUGGAAUUCACAAGUACAUGUAAAAUAAGUGCCCAUAAAGACGUACAGAUAAAAAUAUAUUUGCGUAUAGAGCAGAAUUUAGCGAGAAAAAUUGUUGAAGCAUUUUUUGUGGUUUAAUACAGGUGUGCUGCCGAUAGCAGGCUAAGCUUGUGGUAACAUGUUGUGGAUUAAAGAGUGCACAUAAUGGCAGUGAAAUAUUGUGCAUUGUGGUACGCUACAUACAACAGCAUUUUCGAUAAAAUUGAAUACUUACAAAAAUGUUAAGCUUAUCGGAAUUGAAAGUUGGCGGAUCUCAUAUUUAAAAAAUUUUAAAGGUCGCUUGGGGAAAAAUAUUGGAUUGCCCGUGUUUUAAUUACUCCAACCGAAUGUAUGCGAACUAGACCGAAAGACAAUGGUUCUAUGAGGAUUGUCGUAUCGCAGUGGAGCGACUGUCCAUCUUACAACGAUAUACUGCAACACUUGUCAAGUAGUAGAUAUAUCGAGAUCUGAAGAGAAAAGCGGGAAUCAUAUUUACAGACUACAAAGUUACAGACGGAAAUUUGUGAGUCUGAAGAGCUUGAGAAGAAAUGUUUAAAAAUGCUUUUGAAAAAACACAGAAGCUUUCAAGCCUCGAGAAUAUUCAUGCAUAACCAAAAGAAUUGAGCUGACGACUGAUGUCUAAAUUUUACUGAGUCUAUGGAGGGAAUACUUCGCCAGCCUAGUUUUCUCGCAGUGAAGAUGCAACCCAUGACAUUCUCUUGACCGUCUAUGAGAAAAGCCGAAGACUCACCAGUUCUGUUAUUCAAAUUUGGUGGCUAAGAACUGUCCGGCGAGUGCAUGGCUCACAAUUAGAAGCUAAAUAUGUGUACUCUGCCUAAUCCAUAACAAAAAGUGAUCACAUAAACUAACUAUCUUGUGUCAAUAAAGCAUAAGGGAAUUUAUGUAGUGUGAAAGAAA